rnacentral:rRNA from 1 species
CAAAAACAUCGCCUCUUGAAAAAGUAUAAGAGGUCCAGCCUGCCCAGUGACCUAGUUCAACGGCCGCGGUAUCCUAACCGUGCGAAGGUAGCGUAAUCACUUGUUCUUUAAAUAAGGACUAGUAUGAAUGGCACCACGAGGGUUACACUGUCUCCUUUUUUUAAUCAGUGAAACUAAUCCCCCCGUGAAGAGGCUGGGAUUUUUUUAUAAGACGAGAAGACCCUAUGGAGCUUUAGACUAAUACAUACUUGCUGCCUACAUUAACUUUUCAGAAACUUUUUACAAAGCAUAGCAUUCUAAUUAAUAGUUUUAGAUUGGGGUGAUCACGGAGCAAAAAACAACCUCCAUGCCGAAAGGGCCUCCUUCCCUGAGCAAAAAGCUACAACUUUAAGCACUAAAAAAUUAACGUUAGUUGACCCAAUAACUUUGAUCAACGAACCAAGUUACCCUAGGGAUAACAGCGCAAUCCACUUCAAGAGCUCCUAUCGACAAGCGGGUUUACGACCUCGAUGUUGGAUCAGGGUAUCCCAGUGGUGCAGCCGCUACUAACGGUUCGUUUGUUCAACGAUUAAAACC